GCGCACCUGGACAACUAAAAAGUUUAGGAACUGACGCUUUUGCUGUGUCAGAAGCCAAAGCGAGGUGAUGAGCAAUGAGCUCCUGCAAGGGAGGCAUGGCUUGAGCCGAGCUUAGGAGUCUGACGAGAUAGCAGCAAAGGUGUGAGGUCCCGUCAAAAGAAAAAAGCAUCAGGAUUUUGCCUGAAUUUUGAGAAGGUUACUUUCACGGGUAAUUUUUUCAAUGAAUGUUCAGGUGAGAGACGGUGCGACCGGAUCUGAGUGAUUUGGAAAGUCGUUGCACGAGCAGCUGAAAGACGUUGCGGCGACCGCAUGGAUGAGUGAUCGAGACUCGAUUGUCAGGGGAGACUCUGAUGAGGAAUGAGCGCGAAAGGUUAUCUGUGAAGGUUGUUGUGAUUGAGGUUGGCAUGUUGUGUGAUGCACUCUCGAACCCUUCUGGCUAGAAGGAGGCCUUAACUAAUGAUUGACGCAAGUCAGGUUAUUGGGUAACGGCGACAUCAUUUGCGAUGAUAGUUGGCAUGAUUUUAGCGAAAGCCAAGGUUAUGUGAAUUAGAGUUUAUAGGAAUGAUGACUACAACGGAGAGUUUGAUCCUGGCUCAGGAUGAACGCUGGCGGCGUGCUUAACACAUGCAAGUCGAACGAGCCUUCGGGCUAGUGGCGGACGGGUGAGUAACGCGUGGGAAUCUGCCCUCAGGAGGGGGAUAACGGCCGGAAACGGCCGCUAAUACCCCAUAUGCCGAGAGGUGAAACGAAUUUCGCCUGGGGAUGAGCCCGCGUCUGAUUAGCUAGUUGGUGAGGUAAUGGCUCACCAAGGCAUCGAUCAGUAGCUGGUCUGAGAGGAUGAUCAGCCACACUGGGACUGAGACACGGCCCAGACUCCUACGGGAGGCAGCAGUGGGGAAUUUUCCGCAAUGGGCGCAAGCCUGACGGAGCAACGCCGCGUGAGGGACGAAGGCCUCUGGGCUGUAAACCUCUUUUCUCAAGGAAGAAGACAUGACGGUACUUGAGGAAUAAGCCACGGCUAAUUCCGUGCCAGCAGCCGCGGUAAUACGGGAGUGGCAAGCGUUAUCCGGAAUUAUUGGGCGUAAAGCGUCCGCAGGCGGCCUUGAAAGUCUGUUGUUAAAGCGUGGAGCUCAACUCCAUUUCAGCAAUGGAAACUACAAGGCUAGAGUGUGGUAGGGGCAGAGGGAAUUCCCGGUGUAGCGGUGAAAUGCGUAGAUAUCGGGAAGAACACCAGUGGCGAAGGCGCUCUGCUGGGCCAUAACUGACGCUCAUGGACGAAAGCCAGGGGAGCGAAAGGGAUUAGAUACCCCUGUAGUCCUGGCCGUAAACGAUGAACACUAGGUGUCGGGAGAAUUAACCCUUCCGGUGUCGUAGCCAACGCGUUAAGUGUUCCGCCUGGGGAGUACGCACGCAAGUGUGAAACUCAAAGGAAUUGACGGGGGCCCGCACAAGCGGUGGAGUAUGUGGUUUAAUUCGAUGCAACGCGAAGAACCUUACCAGGGUUUGACAUCCUGCGAAUCCCUUGGAAACUUGGGAGUGCCUUCGGGAACGCAGUGACAGGUGGUGCAUGGCUGUCGUCAGCUCGUGUCGUGAGAUGUUGGGUUAAGUCCCGCAACGAGCGCAACCCACGUCUUUAGUUGCCAGCAUUCAGUUGGGCACUCUAGAGAGACCGCCGGUGAUAAACCGGAGGAAGGUGUGGAUGACGUCAAGUCAUCAUGCCCCUUACAUCCUGGGCUACACACGUACUACAAUGCUACGGACAAAGGGCAGCAAACUCGCGAGAGCUAGCAAAUCCCAUAAACCGUGGCUCAGUUCAGAUCGUAGGCUGCAACUCGCCUACGUGAAGGAGGAAUCGCUAGUAAUCGCAGGUCAGCAUACUGCGGUGAAUACGUUCCCGGGCCUUGUACACACCGCCCGUCACACCAUGGAAGUUGGCCAUGCCCGAAGUCGUUACUCCAACCCGCAAGGGAGGAGGACGCCGAAGGUGGGGCUGAUGACUGGGGUGAAGUCGUAACAAGGUAGCCGUACCGGAAGGUGCGGCUGGAUCACCUCCU
rnacentral:rRNA from 1 species